rnacentral:rRNA from 1 species
AUUGAACGCUGGCGGCAGGCCUAACACAUGCAAGUCGAGCGAGCGGCGGACGGGUGAGUAAAGUCUGGGAAACUGCCUGAUGGAGGGGGAUAACUACCGGAAACGGUAGCUAUUACCGCACACCCUCAGAGGUGCCCAGAUGGGAUUAGCUGGUAGGUGGGGUAACAGUGCACCUAGGCGACAAUCCCUAUCUGGGCUGAGAGGAUGACCAGCCACACUGGAACGGAGACACGGUCCAGACUCCUACGGGAGGCAGCAGUGGGGAAGAUUGCACAAUGGGCGCAAGCCUGAUGCAGCCAUGCCGCUUGGGUGAAGAAGGCCUUCGGGUUGUAAAGCACUUUCAGCGGGGAGGCGUUACCCGCAGAAGAAGCACCGGCUAACUCCGUGCCAGCAGCCGCGGUAAUAC